rnacentral:rRNA from 1 species
UACGGAGGGUGCAAGCGUUGUCCGGAUUUACUGGGCGUAAAGAGCGUGUAGGCGGCCAAGCAGGUCCGUUGUGAAAACUGGAGGCUUAACCUCCAGACGUCGACGGAAACCGCGUGGCUAGAGUCCGGAAGAGGAGAGUGGAAUUCCUGGUGUAGCGGUGAAAUGCGCAGAUAUCAGGAAGAACACCAAUGGCGAAGGCAGCUCUCUGGGACGGUACUGACGCUGAGACGCGAAAGCGUGGGGAGCGAACAGG